GUCUCUUCCAGCCCUUCAUUUGAAUAGCCGUGUAAGUCCGAAGCAACCAGCAGCAAAACAGGGACAGGUCAUGGCCCAGGGCUUGUCGGUUCCCUGGGAACGAGAUGAACUGGGCUGGGUUUUCACCGAGUCCAGAAGGAGUUCCCAAAGAGUGGAUAUGGCAAAGGGAGAGCAAAGAGUGCGGGAAAUGCGACAGAGAUAAAUGGGAACAAAAAGUUUGCCUGAAGGAGGAUGGAAAAGUGUUUGCUCCAGGCUUUCUGUUGGCAAACAGCCGGGAAAGAGUGAGCAACAGUGCCAGAACUGGCCUUAGAGCACAGGAGAGCCUGAGAGCUGGGGCUGCUCAUCCUGGAGAGAAGAGCUCCAGGGGCUCUUGCCAGUGUAUACCAGUACCUGAAUAAAUAAAGAGCCAGACUCUUCCUGCUGGUGGUCAAAGUACGUGACACAAUUUGCCAUUAUCCCCAUUGGAGCAGAUGUAGGAUUCACAAGCAGCUACUAAGCCGGAAGGAAAAUAAACCAGAGCAAACCCGGAGGUGUCUGAAUUCUCCUUGUGUAAUGAAGAUUGGGAUGAAAAAGCUCUGGAACAAAGUUACCUGUUCUUCAGGAGUGGGAUCUGCCACAGGAAUGUUUGAUGUCCUGGUUCAACAGCUGCCCAGUGCAGUGCUGCAAUGUGUGAUUGUGACCCAGCUCUCUGACUGAACCACGCUCUGCAAUCCUCCAGGGCUGCUACUCAGAAAGCCAGUGCCAAGGAAGUGUUUUCCAAGGGAGGAAAAGAGAAAUGGGAGCAGUUCAACAGUUCCUAUGCUGGGCAUUCCACCAGAGCUACAACGCUAAGGACCAAGAACAACAGAGUUUUCAUGAAGACUACUGGAGUGUAUCACACCUAACUGACCUAUCACAGAAGAUAAAUCUAAGACCAGUAAGUACCAGCAAAGCAGUGAGCUAAAAACCUGUUACUGAGUAUUGAGUAACUCACGAGCUACUGCAGAAUAU